ACUGAGAUGCGAUGACUCAGUCAGUAGGCUACUCUUGUGAAUACGCUACGGGCUGGACGACCUAGUUUCGAUUCCUGACAAGGCAGGGUUGUUAGGAUUUUCCUCCUUGCCACGACGUCUGGACCGGCACUAUGGCCCACAUAGCCUUCUACACAGUGGGUACGAAAUAUCUUCCCUCGGAUGCAAAGCGGCGAAAGGGAAAUUUGUGCUUCUGGACACCACUGAACCUAAUGGCGCCAUAGGACAUGACACUGGCAACCCGACGCUCAGUGUCGCUGACAUGAGAUUUAGAAUAAGGCGAAGACCAGCCUCGAGUGCUAUCUAGGGGCAUGUCUGAGAUCGUUUUAGGCGUAUGUGAGAACAAACAAACACCGAUCUGGAUUUCAUAUGUACAGAAUGUACAGAUGGACAUCUUCAGAGGGAAUUUGUGCCUGAACGUCGUAGUUUCAUGGGAAGCCAGAGCUUCUACCCUGCACGUCGGUUGUUUUCAUCGUACUGAGUGAACCGUAAUAAGGCUUACGGUGCACGGGGAUAGCGGAUUCACCAUACUAAAGGCAAAGAAACUGAGACCAGCCAAUAACAAUCGGAAGGAUGUAUAACAUGACGUAGGACAUUGAUGAAUUGCCUUGUCAGAAAGUCAAGGUUAAAGAUUACCGAAGCGCUUGGGCGGAACUGGGAUGUUCUUCUGUGCGUGCAAUCCUCAUUCGCCUCUGGGACAUGGCUGAUUAAGAGGUGACAGUGAGUGACAAUGGAACACCUGCCCUGUCUUCUACGACACGUGCGGUAGUUACAGUAGCAGACACAAAUGAUCAUGCACCAGAGUUUGAACAGAUGUUCUACAAAGUCACAAUUCCAGAGUCUACAAAUUUAGAUGAACCUCUGUUCCAGAAUGGCACAGAGGACCUUGAGCUAGCAGUUGAUACGUUUCUCGAAAACGGCACUUGGGAGAGUUUUGAUCCCGACACCUUAUCAGGAGAACCAAUAUUAAGGGUAAGGAAUCUACAGAUCAGUGCCAGGGUACUUUGUAUGACAAUGUACAGCAUCAUUUAAAAAUUUAUUAAUGGUAUGUGCCUGCCUUUCUUUCUGUAUUUUGUGUUUUGUUUGAUGCUAGUUUGGAGUAUGGAUGUAUAUGUGUGCUAUGCUUUUGGGCAUGUAAAAAUGCAAAUGAGCACUUUGUUCUGAUAUGGAAUGUCAGUCAGUGUUGACUAAUAAUGCAUCUUAUUGUGUGUAAUUAUAAAGCAUUGGCUACUAUGCCUUUUGGUUUCUAGUCUGUAUAUAUUAGUAGGCAGCCUUCCAGACAUAAUAAGUGAGGUUAUGUUUGCUUAGCUUAUGUAUGAAUUUUGUAAUUUAUGGGUUGUACUUGAAGGGGAAAUAAGUAUAUUUGGCCCUUCUGAAACAUUCACCAAGGUACUGAAUUUAAAUUGAUUAUUAAAUAUUUAUAUAAAUAUUCGUAUUGUCCCUUUUUUUGAUCUUUUUGGGAGAUAUGUUUCUUGAAAGAUGACAUUACAAUUUUAUUUGCAAUAAUUCAGAAGUAGUCGAUGGAUUUUUAUCGAUGUAACUACAACAUUUUCAAACCUGUGCACUUAUUAACACACACUGAAUAGAGAUUUUGAUUGUAGUUAAUGCCACAUUCCUUACUGUUUUGUGUAUUUUUGUGUAUGUUGUUAGACUAUGAGUAGUUCUUACAACUUGUACCAUAGAAGUGGGAUAGUUAAGUUUUAGUUGCUUAUAAUGCAGGAUGCUGAAAGUGGGGUCUGGAUACAUGAUCGUUAUGUUGAAAUUCAUGUAUGUUCUCAGUCUUGGUGAUUCAUUCAGCUGUAAGAUCCAAACCGGUAAAAAUCGUUUCUUAAUUCGUGAUUUCUUUCAGAAAAAUAGUUAUGGCACUAUUUAUUGGAAUGUUUUAAGUGCAGGAUUAUAUUAAAAUUUAUGUAAAAUAAACAUAUAAUAUUUUUAAUUAAUUAUAUAUCAAUACAAUAAAUUCAGGGAAAAUGACAGGAGAAAGUUAUACACCACAGUUCAUGAAUUUUUGUGAGCCACAGAAGAAUUCCUUCAUAGAAUCUUUGCAGUUCAUCAGCAAAUGUCUGUCUGCCUGCGUGUUUGUUAUUAUUUGUGUUCAUUAAACAAUUCUCUGGA